rnacentral:rRNA from 1 species
UAAGCGGAGGAAAAGAAACUAACAAGGAUUCCCCUAGUAACUGCGAGUGAAGCGGGAAAAGCUCAAAUUUAAAAUCUGGCGGUCUUUGGCCGUCCGAGUUGUAAUUUAGAGAAGCGUCUUCCGCGCUGGACCGUGCACAAGUCUCCUGGAAUGGAGCGUCAUAGAGGGUGAGAAUCCCGUCUUUGGCACGGAUGCCUGGUGCUUCUGUGAUGCGCUCUCGAAGAGUCGAGUUGUUUGGGAAUGCAGCUCAAAAUGGGUGGUGAACUCCAUCUAAAGCUAAAUAUUGGCGAGAGACCGAUAGCGAACAAGUACCGUGAGGGAAAGAUGAAAAGCACUUUGGAAAGAGAGUGAAACAGUACGUGAAAUUGUUGAAAGGGAAACGCUUGAAGUCAGUCGCGUCGACCGAGACUCAGCCUUGCCUUGGCUUGGUGUACUUCUCGGCCCGACGGGUCAGCAUCAAUUUUGCCCCUCGGAUAAUGGCAGGGGAAAGGUGGCACCUUUACGGGUGUGUUAUAGUCUCCUGUCGAAUGCGAGGGGUGGGAUUGAGGAACUCAGCGCGCACCUCAGUGUCGGGGCUUCGGCCCACGUCACGCGCUUAGGANGCUGGCGUAAUGNCUUUNAACGANC